UACGUAGGGUGCAAGCGUUGUCCGGAAUUAUUGGGCGUAAAGAGCUCGUAGGCGGUUAGUCGCGUCUGCUGUGAAAACUCGGGGCUUAACUCCGGGCCUGCAGUGGGUACGGGCUGACUAGAGUGCGGUAGGGGAGACUGGAAUUCCUGGUGUAGCGGUGAAAUGCGCAGAUAUCAGGAGGAACACCGGUGGCGAAGGCGGGUCUCUGGGCCGUAACUGACGCUGAGGAGCGAAAGCGUGGGGGAGCGAACAGG
rnacentral:rRNA from 1 species